rnacentral:rRNA from 1 species
ACGCUCGACACCUACGGGAGACAGCAGUGGGGAAUAUUGCACAAUGGGGGAAACCCUGAUGCAGCAACGCCGCGUGAAGGAAGACGGUCUUCGGAUUGUAAACUUCUGUUCUUAGUGAAGAUAGUGACGGUAGCUAAGGAGCAAGCCACGGCUAACUACGUACCAGCAGCCGCGGUAAUCUGAGCGGGCUGGCAAGGC